rnacentral:rRNA from 1 species
AUACGUAGGUGGCAAGCGUUAUCCGGAUUUAUCGGGCGUAAAGCGAGCGCAGGCGGUUUGAUAAGUCUGAUGUGAAAGCCUUUGGCUUAACCAAAGAAGUGCAUCGGAAACUGUCAGACUUGAGUGCAGAAGAGGACAGUGGAACUCCAUGUGUAGCGGUGGAAUGCGUAGAUAUAUGGAAGAACACCAGUGGCGAAGGCGGCUGUCUGGUCUGCAACUGACGCUGAGGCUCGAAAGCAUGGGUAGCGAACAGGAUUAGAUACCCUGGUAGUCCAUGCCGUAAACGAUGAAUGCCAGUCGUCGGGUAGCAUGCUGCUCGGUGACACACCUAACGGAUUAAGCAUUCCGCCUGGGGAUACGGUCGCAAGAUUAAAACUCAAAGGAAUUGACGGGGCCCGCACAAGCGGUGGAGCAUGUGGUUUAAUUCGAAGCAACGCGCAGAACCUUACCAACCCUUGACAUCCUCAUCGAGAUUUCUGGAGAC